UACAGAGGGUGCGAGCGUUAAUCGGAAUUACUGGGCGUAAAGCGCGCGUAGGUGGUUUGUUAAGUCGGAUGUGAAAUCCCAGGGCUCAACCUUGGAAUGGCACCCGAUACUGGCAGGCUAGAGUACGGUAGAGGGAUGUGGAAUUUCCUGUGUAGCGGUGAAAUGCGUAGAUAUAGGAAGGAACAUCAGUGGCGAAGGCGACAUCCUGGACUGAUACUGACACUGAGGUGCGAAAGCGUGGGGAGCAAACAGG
rnacentral:rRNA from 1 species